GGCGGCGCGGCGCGCACAGAGCCCCUGGAGCUGCGCGGCCGGCGCGGCGCAAAGUUAGCCCGGCGCCCCGGGACGAGCCCCGCAGCCGCCCGCUGGCCCUGGACCCCGCGUCGACAUGGGCGAGCACCCCAGCCCGGGCCCCGCAGUGGCCGCCUGCGCCGAGGCGGAGCGCAUCGAGGAGCUGGAACCCGAGGCCGAGGAGCGGCCGCCCGCGGCGCCGGAGGACCACUGGAAAGUCCUGUUUGAUCAGUUUGACCCUGGGAACACAGGCUACAUCAGCACAGGCAAGUUCCGGAGCCUCCUGGAGAGCCACAGCUCCAAGCUCGACCCGCACAAAAGGGAGGUGCUCCUGGCUCUCGCCGACAGCCAUGCAGAUGGGCAGAUCUGCUACCAGGAUUUUGUCAACCUGAUGAGCAACAAGCGGUCCAACAGCUUCCGCCAGGCCAUCCUGCAGGGAAACCGCAGGCUCUGCAGCAAAGCCCUCCUGGAGGAGAAGGGGCUGAACCUCUCCCAGCGGCUGAUCCGCCACGUGGCCUACGAGACCCUGCCCCGGGAGAUAGACCGGAAGUGGUACUACGACAGUUACACCUGCUGCCCCCCACCCUGGUUCAUGAUCACCGUCACAUUGCUGGAGGUUGCCUUUUUCCUUUACAACGGAGUGUCGCUGGAUCAGUUUGUGCUGCAGGUGACCCAUCCGCGAUACCUGAAGAACUCACUGGUUUACCACCCGCAGCUCCGCGCACAGGCCUGGCGCUACCUGACCUACAUCUUCAUGCACGCGGGGAUAGAACACCUGGGACUCAACGUGGUGCUGCAGCUCCUCGUGGGGGUACCCUUGGAGAUGGUGCACGGAGCAACCCGUAUUGGGCUUGUCUAUGUGGCUGGUGUUGUAGCAGGGUCCUUGGCGGUGUCUGUGGCUGACAUGACGGCUCCAGUCGUGGGCUCCUCUGGAGGGGUGUAUGCGCUUGUCUCUGCCCAUCUGGCUAACAUUGUGAUGAACUGGUCAGGCAUGAAGUGUCAAUUCAAGCUGCUGCGGAUGGCUGUGGCCUUGAUCUGCAUGAGCAUGGAGUUCGGGCGGGCCGUGUGGCUCCGGUUCCACCCAUCGGCCUACCCUCCGUGUCCUCACCCGAGCUUUGUGGCACACUUGGGCGGCGUGGCUGUGGGGAUCACGCUGGGUGUGGUGGUCUUGAGGAACUACGAGCAGAGGCUACAGGACCAGUCCCUGUGGUGGAUUUUUGUGACCAUGUACACGGUCUUUGUUCUGUUCGCUGUCUUCUGGAACAUCUUCGCCUACUCCCUGCUGGACUUAAAGCUGCCACCGCCUCCUUAAGGCACUGGGGGCCCGAGGUCUGGGAGGGGAGGGCCGAGCUGCAGCAGGAAGGAGCGCAUACGGACAUCCUCGUUCUCAGCUCCGUGGAGACCGAGGAGGACAGGACGCAAGGCUGGGCCACGGGGUGAGAAGACUGUGAACCAGAAGACUCUAGAAAGGCCCCAGAGAAGCACCCAGUUCCCUCAGGGCUGAAGAUGGAAGUUUGCUACCAAGAAGGACUACCUAAGGCGGACAUCCUACAUGCCAUCCUGUCUGAGACGCACCAAGCGACCCACCUGUCGGCAGGUCCCAAAGGAACCCAGAAGUUCUUUAGUCCGCUUCACGCCACACCUGCCCAACCAUCAGCUCCAAACAGGGCCACCCACUGGGGCUCCACGGUCACUCCUCACAACCCAGGUCUCCAAACCAGGGCCAGAGAUCAUUGUCUGGUAAGAAAGGUUUCUGUUUUGGUGUCUGGCUUUCACCGCAGCCGGUCCAUGCACCCUCACCCCGGCGCCCUGCCAGCACCCUCGUCCCCUUCACCCCUCCUUUCCCGGGCCCGUACAGCCAACGGCCUGGGGUGCCUCUUGGGGCUGUGGAGGGUGGCUGGCUUUCAUCCACAGGAUACAGAGACUGAAAGCUGGGGAUUCCCCGAACAGCAGCCGUAGACUUGCUCGCUCGUUAAACGGAAGAGGAAUCACAAAAACUAGGGAAGGGAGAACAGAUCUUCAAAGGAGAAAUUUGGCUUUAAUGACACCAUUAAUCAUUCAUUUUUUUAAUUAGGAAAAGCUCCCUAAUGAGGUGUUUUUGCCAGCUAAUAGGACUCUCCAUUUCCAUGAGGACCCUUCUUACCCAGAGGAUUAGGGGACUCGUUGCUCACCAAGCCCAGAUAUUCCCCCAGGGUCCAAUUUCGUUUGCAAAUAAUGCAGAUUCCCGGGUGCAGCGGAAGCCCUUUCCUGGAGUCCUUCAUGCUGCUCCCAGGGCUGGCCAGAAAGCACCACACUCCUCUGCCUUAAAAAAACAGUGCCCAACAUUGAAUAUCCGCCCCACCCCCCACCCCCAGGACUUGAGUAAGUGGGAAACAAAAGGAAACACAAGCUGCAAUGUUUGUUUCUAAAUAUUUUUGUAUUGUGUACAUUCUGUAUAUUUUUGUUGUAACAUAUUAUUUGAACACAGAUUCCAUUAAAGAUUUUUUUUUUUUUUAAAGCCAACGGUGACUCGGA